rnacentral:rRNA from 1 species
AGCGAACGCUGGCGGCAGGCCUAACACAUGCAAGUCGAACGAAGUCUUCGGACUUAGUGGCGGACGGGUGAGUAACACGUGGGAACGUGCCUUUAGGUUCGGAAUAACUCAGGGAAACUUGUGCUAAUACCGAACGUGCCCUUCGGGGGAAAGAUUUAUCGCCUUUAGAGCGGCCCGCGUCUGAUUAGCUAGUUGGUGAGGUAAAGGCUCACCAAGGCGACGAUCAGUAGCUGGUCUGAGAGGAUGAUCAGCCACAUUGGGACUGAGACACGGCCCAAACUCCUACGGGAGGCAGCAGUGGGGAACCUUGCGCAAUGGGCGAAAGCCUGACGCAGCCAUGCCGCGUGAAUGAUGAAGGUCUUAGGAUUGUAAAAUUCUUUCACCGGGGACGAUAAUGACGGUACCCGGAGAAGAAGCCCCGGCUAACUUCGUGCCAGCCGCCGCUGUAACAC